AGUUGCCUUAUGGAGUCGGUACCUCUUGGCCAUGGAGAGACAUGGAGUUGAUCAUCAAGUAAUUUCUGUAACCUUCGAGAAAGCUUUGAAUGCCGGCUUCAUCCAGGCCACUGAUUAUGUGGAGAUUUGGCAGGCAUACCUUGAUUACCUGAGGAGAAGGGUUGAUUUCAAACAAGGUAUUUAAGCACAUGUUUUUCACUUUAGAGCUGAACAUGUUAUUAAUACAACUUUUGGCGAGAUGUCCCAGUUCCCCAGAUACAUUGUGAUUGGGCAAAUGAUGUAGACUAGGUAUUGGUGACUUUUUUCCCCCAGAAAUCUUAGCAAUUUCUGUCUUUAACAAGUCAUGAUGUGGAUUGUAAAGCAAGAGAGUAAUCGUUUAUACUGGCAUCUGCCAGCCUUUUUAGUCUUAGCUCUCAUUUCCCCUUUCAGGUCUUUUUGUUUAUCCUAAAUACUUCUUGAAAUAAGACUGCUGUUUUAGAAAAAUCUUUGUACCUCUGUAGGAUCCUCUGCCCCUUCAUGUCCCCCCCAAAACAACCAGAAAACCCCUAACUUGUACU
rnacentral:sRNA from 1 species